UACGGGGGGGGUAAGCGUUGUUCGGAAUUACUGGGCGUAAAGGGCUCGUAGGCGGCCAACUAAGUCGGACGUGAAAUCCCUCAGCUUAACUGGGGAACUGCGUCCGAUACUGGAUGGCUUGGAUUUGGGAGAGGGAUGCGGAAUUCCAGGUGUAGCGGUGAAAUGCGUAGAUAUCUGGAGGAACACCGGUGGCGAAGGCGGCAUCCUGGACCAAUAUUGACGCUGAGGAGCGAAAGCCAGGGGAGCAACGGG
rnacentral:rRNA from 1 species